rnacentral:rRNA from 1 species
CGAACGCUUCUUUUUCCACCGGGAGCUUGCUCCACCGGAAAAAGAGGAGUGGCGAACGGGUGAGUAACACGUGGGUAACCUGCCCAUCAGAAGGGGAUAACACUUGGAAACAGGUGCUAAUACCGUAUAACAAUCAAAACCGCAUGGUUUUGAUUUGAAAGGCGCUUUCGGGUGUCGCUGAUGGAUGGACCCGCGGUGCAUUAGCUAGUUGGUGAGGUAACGGCUCACCAAGGCCACGAUGCAUAGCCGACCUGAGAGGGUGAUCGGCCACAUUGGGACUGAGACACGGCCCAAACUCCUACGGGAGGCAGCAGUAGGGAAUCUUCGGCAAUGGACGAAAGUCUGACCGAGCAACGCCGCGUGAGUGAAGAAGGUUUUCGGAUCGUAAAACUCUGUUGUUAGAGAAGAACAAGGAUGAGAGUAACUGUUCAUCCCUUGACGGUAUCUAACCAGAAAGCCACGGCUAACUACGUGCCAGCAGCCGCGGUAAUACGUAGGUGGCAAGCGUUGUCCGGAUUUAUUGGGCGUAAAGCGAGCGCAGGCGGUUUCUUAAGUCUGAUGUGAAAGCCCCCGGCUCAACCGGGGAGGGUCAUUGGAAACUGGGAGACUUGAGUGCAGAAGAGGAGAGUGGAAUUCCAUGUGUAGCGGUGAAAUGCGUAGAUAUAUGG